GAUGAACGCUGGCGGCAUGCCUUACACAUGCAAGUCGAACGGCAGCACGGGAGCAAUCCUGGUGGCGAGUGGCGAACGGGUGAGUAAUAUAUCGGAACGUGCCCGGUCGUGGGGAUAACGUAGCGAAAGCUACGCUAAUACCGCAUACGAUCUACGGAUGAAAGCGGGGGAUCGCAAGACCUCGCGCGAUUGGAGCGGCCGAUAUCAGAUUAGGUAGUUGGUGAGGUAAAGGCUCACCAAGCCAACGAUCUGUAGCUGGUCUGAGAGGACGACCAGCCACACUGGAACUGAGACACGGUCCAGACUCCUACGGGAGGCAGCAGUGGGGAAUUUUGGACAAUGGGCGCAAGCCUGAUCCAGCAAUGCCCGCGUGCAGGAUGAAGGCCUUCGGGUUGGUAAAC
rnacentral:rRNA from 1 species